GGUCUGUUAGCUCAGCUGGAUAGAGUACUUGCCUCCGAAGCAAGGGGUCACAGGUUCGAAUCCUGUACAGACCACCA
rnacentral:tRNA from 1 species